ACCCUCUCAGGAUCACACCUGGAGAGUUUUGAGUACUCUACCAGUCUUGGCUACGGGAAGGAGAGUCGAGCAGAAGCAUACCCAUUCCCUUCUCAGCUUGGGCAGUGGUCAGUGAGUGGAAGGCAUUCUGCUACAAGU